UACGGAGGGAGCUAGCGUUGUUUGGAAUUACUGGGCGUAAAGCGCGCGUAGGCGGUUUUUUAAGUCAGAGGUGAAAGCCCAGUGCUCAACACUGGAACUGCCUUUGAAACUGGAAAACUUGAAUCUUGGAGAGGUCAGUGGAAUUCCGAGUGUAGAGGUGAAAUUCGUAGAUAUUCGGAAGAACACCAGUGGCGAAGGCGACUGACUGGACAAGUAUUGACGCUGAGGUGCGAAAGCGUGGGGAGCAAACGGG
rnacentral:rRNA from 1 species